GGGGAUUUAGCUCAGCGGCAUAAGCGCCUGCCUUGAAAGCAGGCAGUCGUGAGUUUGAUCCCCA
rnacentral:tRNA from 1 species